rnacentral:lncRNA from 1 species
AGCCGGGUGGACUCCAGGGUAGUGCUACUCCGGCUGGACUUCCGGGUAGUGACCAGGCGGGUACCAAGCUUCCCUUCAGUCAUCCAAAGUACCAAAGUACCACGUGAGCCCCGCCUGCACAACAAGCCCCGCCCCCCACAGCGAGGACACGAAGGCCUCGCUACGCUUCUUCCACUUCAGUCCGGAGGUCGCUGUCGCACUCCGGGUCUCCAGGCUUCGUUCUUCCUGAGUGCUAGAAUCCCAGCACUCAGGAAGCAAAUCUGCAUGUUCAAGGCCCUCCUGGGCUACACAUCAAGACCUUAUUUCAAAAAUACAGAAACCAAAAGCAAAUCCUAUAACUUGGGAGUAUGUUACAAAGUUUAAACAUGGGCUGGAGGGAUGGCUUAGGACACUGCUCUUCCAGAGCAC